UACUUGCUUGUUCUGCCCACUAUGACUCAUCUGUUCUAUGCUGAUUUGAUGAAUGUCUUGUAUGACAAAAACCAUUACAAGCUGGUUUUGGGACAGAUCAACAUCGCAAAGAAUUUGAUUGACAAUGUUUCCAAAGACUAUGUUUGACUGAAGUAUGGGAUUUCCCUGUACCGCUGUAAACAACUGAAGCGUGCUUCUCUGGGUCGAAUGUGCACCAUCAUGAAGCGACAGAAGCAAAGCUUGGAAUACCUGGAACAAGUGCACCAGCAUCUUUCCUGUUUACAAACGAUUGAUCCCAAUACUCGGACUCUACUGCUUUGUGGAUAUCCCAAUGCGGGCAGGUCUAGUUUAAUCAACAAGGUCACCAGAGCUGAUGUUGAAGUCCAGCCCUAUGCCUUCACCACCAAGUCCUUGUUCGUCAGCCACAUGGAUUACAAAUACCUUUGUUGGCAGAAAAUCAUUGCUGACCUUACUGUAGAGGGCAUCCCUGUCGUUGAAACCAGCACUUUGACUGAAUAGGGCGAGAUAAUUGUAAAAACAGAGGCAAACUUCUGGCCGAUCGUGUCCAUGGCAAAAUGAAGGGCAAGAAGGUGCAUGAUGUUCUCAACAGAUUGCAUUUAGCAGUACCUGCUAAGAGGGAUGAAAAGGUGAGACCACCAUUCAUUCCAGAGGGAACUAGGAUUGGCAGGAAAACAGUGGAGGUGGAUGCACCCAAACGCAAAACAGAGAGGGAGAUGGAGAUGAUUAUAUCCUGGACCUACAGAGUAUGUAUUUGGACAUUGACAUUCAUCAUUGUCUGAUGAAUAAAGAGGAGAAAUAUGAUGUGAUUCCCGAAAUAUGGGAGGGUCACAACUUUUCAGAUUAUAUCGACCCUAAAAUCAUUAAGGUGAGUGGGGCGUGAAUUGAUCUUGUUCUAGUGAUUCCAUGGAAUCAUUAACUUGAAUGGGGAUGCCUGGUCUAUUCAUUCAAAUUCUAUGGCUGCCACCUCCCUGAAAAUCUCUCAUGCCCAUACUGGAGGAUCUGGAGAAGGAGGAGGAGCUGAAGGAGAAGGCAGGGGAGUACGAGACUGGUGAGGAUGAGGAGAUGCAGGAGAUCCGCCAGCUGGCCAAACAGAUCAGAGAGAAGAGGAAGCUAAAGAUUGUGUGCUCCAAAGACAAGGAUGUGCAUUGCCCCAGACUACCCAGAACUGUCAAGAAGGUUGAAAGAAACUCUGGAGAAAGAAAUGGGAGACCUUGGUCUGGACAUGACUGGCAAAGAUGAUAUGGCGAAGAAGGCCAAGAAGUUGAUGAAGAGCCAACAGAAGGACAUGAACUGCCAGGGGAAGAAGGGAGAGGCAGACAGACAUGUAUUUGACCUCAUGCCAAAACCAAUUUUUCUCUGGCAAGAGAAUGUCCGGAACAAACGAUCACAGAUAAAGGCAUUGAUCGAUGAGGUUGACCUUUUUUCAGUGUAAUCCAGCUUCUGUCAGAAUUGUAUACUUUUUCACUGGAGUAAAUCUGAAAAUAAAUGUUUGCCCUUUUCUGAAUUAUCUUUCAUCAUAUUGAGGUAAUGAGUGACACAAGUGACAUUCCUGGUUUUGGAAAGCUGCGUAGUGGAGCACAAACCUCAAUUCACCACAAGGUAUCAGCCAAAAAUUUUAGUGGUAGUUUGACUUCUGUGUCACUUACAUGAACACCCACUGUCAAAGCUUCCAAUUGCUGUGGCUACCAAUUGUGAUAAAUAAUCUCAAAGCGCAUUCAAGUGAAGUGUACUUGAAUUGUAAUCUGUAAAUGGAACGUAUUACAUUCUAGGAGUUAAGGCAUCAAUUGUAUUGCUUUGGUGUAGCUAGAAACAAAGAAGAUGAAGCUGCACACACACCGUAACAGUUAAGUCCUCUCAACAAAUGUGAGUUUCUUCUACUGUGUACACUGCAGUGGGGGAAGUGAUUAAAUCUAUAAACCAAAA